rnacentral:rRNA from 1 species
GAUGAACGCUGGCGGCGUGCCUAAUACAUGCAAGUCGAGCGAACGGACGAGAAGCUUGCUUCUCUGAUGUUAGCGGCGGACGGGUGAGUAACACGUGGAUAACCUGCCUAUAAGACUGGGAUAACUUCGGGAAACCGGAGCUAAUACCGGAUAAUAUUUUGAACCGCAUGGUUCAAAAGUGAAAGACGGUCUUGCUGUCACUUAUAGAUGGAUCCGCGCUGCGUUAGCUAGUUGGUAAGGUAACGGCUUACCAAGGCAACGAUGCAUAGCCGACCUGAGAGGGUGAUCGGCCACACUGGAACUGAGACACGGUCCAGACUCCUACGGGAGGCAGCAGUAGGGAAUCUUCCGCAAUGGGCGAAAGCCUGACGGAGCAACGCCGCGUGAGUGAUGAAGGUCUUCGGAUCGUAAAACUCUGUUAUUAGGGAAGAACAUAUGUGUAAGUAACUGUGCACAUCUUGACGGUACCUAAUCAGAAAGCCACGGCUAACUACGUG